rnacentral:rRNA from 1 species
UACGUAGGGGGCAAGCGUUAUCCGGAUUUACUGGGUGUAAAGGGAGCGUAGGCGGCGAUGCAAGUCAGAAGUGAAAGCCCGGGGCUCAACUCCGGGACUGCUCUGGAAACUGCGGGGCUGGAGUGCAGGAGGGGUAAGCGGAAUUCCUAGUGUAGCGGUGAAAUGCGUAGAUAUUAGGAGGAACACCGGUGGCGAAGGCGGCUUACUGGACUGUAACUGACGUUGAGGCUCGAAGGCGUGGGGAGCAAACAGG